AAGUUUCACGACAAUGGAAUUACCAAAAAUCGUAACCUUUCCACCAAUUGAAUUAAUUUUUUUUUUAAUAAGACACUGAAUUUUCAAAAAACAAUAAUCGGUUUAGAAACAUCAAUAGGAGGUAUCAAACCGUAUAAGUUGAAGAGAUGGGGUUGACAAUCACUUGUUGGUGAAAAAAUGAUGCCACAGUACCAGACUAGUUUGUACGAAGAAAGCAAUUUUUUUUUUUUUUGAAACGAAAAAGGUCAUAAAAGUUUCAUAUCUUUCUAUGUUUAAAGAAAGGUUAACCAGAAAAUUACCAUGUUGUGUAAAAGAUCUGUUGCAAUAAUUUAAAAAAUUUGGACAUACGGUUUUGUAUCUUUUCUUUUGUGUUUAACACCUUAUAAAGCGAGUGAGCAUAAACUAAUAUCUAAAACACUGUCGUUGAUGGCACUCUACCACAAAUUAGUCAUGAAAUGUUUGAAAAUGGGAAACCUUAACAAUAAAAUCAAAGGACGAGAAAUGUUUUCAGAGUUCAUCAAUAAACUUUGCAGUGUGUCCCUAGAAGAAAAAUUCUAGUAAACGUAAAGCUUCGCCGUGGCUAAGCGACGUAUUAGUAAAAUUUUCCUUUUAGCCUACUGUUAAUUAGUGUCAGGGAAACAAAAUUGACAGUUUGCGAACAAAUUCAAUGCCAAGCUUUCCCUUAGUAAUAUAUAGAAGAAUUAUGUAGGCUGUCAGAAACCGUCUUCAUAAUUUGAAAACGCGUUUCCAGAGAGCGAACGUGAAGUAGAGCUACUUCACCUUGGCUAUUGGGUAAAAAACAAUGAAUACCAGUAGUACUUUUUUUUGUGGAACUUAAAAAAAGUGUCGUGAAGCACUGACAAUGUAGGUUUUACUAUGACGUGCAAGAUAAAUGAAAAGUUUGACUGAAACAUAACAUGUGUUGGGUGGAGAGUGUUUUUUUCUAAAAUAAAUAAUCUCUAGUUGAAGGUGCUUUUUAUAAUACACCAGAAAAUAUUUUGAAAAAAGAAAAGCAGCUUAAGGAAAAUCUAAGCGUGAAAAUGAAUUGAAAUGUUGUCCAAAAUUUAGUCACAAAAUUGCUCAUUUGCCUUUCCUGAGGAUUGGAAUUAGGCUAAAACUUG